CUUUCGGGAAUGAGUAGAGUGGCGGACGGGUGAGUAACGCGUGGGAAUCUACCUGGUAGCGGGGGAUAACUCGGGGAAACUCGAGCUAAUACCGCAUACGCCCUACGGGGGAAAGGAGGGGAUCUUCGGACCUUUCACUAUCAGAUGAGCCCGCGUUAGAUUAGCUUGUUGGUGAGGUAAUGGCUCACCAAGGCGACGAUCUAUAGCUGGUCUGAGAGGAUGAUCAGCCACACUGGGACUGAGACACGGCCCAGACUCCUACGGGAGGCAGCAGUGGGGAAUAUUGCGCAAUGGGCGAAAGCCUGACGCAGCCAUGCCGCGUGUGUGAAGAAGGCCUUCGGGUUGUAAAGCACUUUCAAUAGGGAGGAAAACUUGUAGGUUAAUACCCUGCAAGCCUGACGUUACCUAUAGAAGAAGCACCGGCUAACUCCGUGCCAGCAGCCGCGGUAAUACGGAGGGUGCGAGCGUUAAUCGGAAUUACUGGGCGUAAAGCGCGCGUAGGCGGCUUCGUCAGUCAGAUGUGAAAGCCCCGGGCUCAACCUGGGAACUGCAUUUGAUACUGCGGAGCUAGAGCAUGGUAGAGGAUAGUGGAAUUCCAGGUGUAGCGGUGAAAUGCGUAGAUAUCUGGAGGAACAUCAGUGGCGAAGGCG
rnacentral:rRNA from 1 species